UGAACAGUUCCGGCACUUUCUUUGCAAACUUUGUCACAACUUUUCCUAAUUUUAGCACUACUUAGGGUCUGAACUUCAUCUUUAUCUUUACCCUUUGAAACUCUUUUUUCCUGGAAUGGCUGUCUUUCAACGUUCGUGUCUCAUUCUUCUCAACGCUCACGGCAUCAUCUGUUGAGUCCCCUUGACAAGAACCUUCUAACAUGUUUGGCGUAUCCUUGAGGCAAGUGAACAUCUUAAGCAAACAAGAAUCAAGAAUGGCAGAGAAAUCUUGGAGGACGCUUUACCAGGUUGCAGCUCAUAUGUUGUUCCAGCUCAUUUCGGAUCUACAGAAGUGAAAGGAUUUAAUUUAAUGCUCCUUCCAUGGCUGAUUCAUUUAUGUAAAUCAUGAAAUAAAAACCUCAUUACAUAUACCUCCUU